UACGGGGGGGGCAAGCGUUGUUCGGAAUUACUGGGCGUAAAGGGCUCGUAGGCGGCCAACUAAGUCGGACGUGAAAUCCCUCGGCUUAACCGGGGAACUGCGUCCGAUACUGGAUGGCUGGAGGUUGGGAGAGGGAUGCGGAAUUCCAGGUGUAGCGGUGAAAUGCGUAGAUAUCUGGAGGAACACCGGUGGCGAAGGCGGCAUCCUGGACCAACACUGACGCUGAGGAGCGAAAGCCAGGGGAGCAAACGGG
rnacentral:rRNA from 1 species